rnacentral:lncRNA from 1 species
UUUUUAAACAUAUAGAUACAUAUAUAUUGAUACACACACACAAUAUAAUUGGAAGGUAAUCUCAGAGGGAAGCCAUUAGCAGGAAGUCGGAAGCAGGGGCCUCCAGAGAGACCUACAGAACUGGGGAUUUGAGGGGCAGAGUCCUUCUCUUUAGCCUUAUCUAGUCAUGAAUUCCAGAGCCAUAGGAGCUUAGUAAGGGAAGGCAGUGAGACGGAGAACGGGAGGGAGAUGGGAAACAUCCCUCCCCUUUUGAACUUUAGAGUCUCACCCCAGCACCCAGGACCACACUCAGUGUCAUUGUCAGCGGUCCUGGCUCACACUGGGAAGUUCUGCGCUCUAGUCAACUGGGAAAUAGAUUUUGAUGUUUAAAAAAAAAAAGGAAAGGUUUCAUGAUAAAAAAGGCAUUCAUUCUCCCCAGCCGGCGGGAGGCUCUGGCCGUCCUGCUCCUGUCACCCCUGAGGAUUCUUCCAGCGCCAUCUCCAUCAGCUCGAGCAUCAGCUCAGCCAAGUUGGGACUCUUGGCACGGCCCCCGUGUAGAGCCCAGCCAAAGAAUUCCAUGCUGUGCACAUCUGCAGCGCGGAACGCGGGCCUUUCGGAGGGAGAUUUAUUGCUUUUGCUUCUUCCCCUCCUCCUCGUCGAAGGUUUCUGGAUGCUGUUCCUUGUGUACAGCAUGCGCCUCGGGCUUAUCGGGGACGAAUGACAGAACUUUGGGGGCAGCUGGAUGGCUCAGUGGAUGGAGAGCCAGGCCAGCUAGAUAUCCUUGUUGUCCGACUCCUUUCAGCCCUGUCCGACGCUUCAUGAUCCCAUUGGGGGUUUUCUUGGCAAAUCUACUGCAAUGGUUUGCCUUUUCCUUCUCCAGCUCAUUUGACAGAGGAGGAAACUAAGGCAAACAAGAUGAAGUGACUUAGCCAUCGUCACACAGCUAGUCAGUGUCUGAAGCCAGAUUUGAACUCAGGAGGAGGAAUGCUCCAGACUCCAGCCUUGGAAGGCUCUCCGCUGCCCCAUCUAGAGAUAAAGGGAAAUAAAUACUAUGAUCACCAUUUUGGAGUUUCUCCA